UAAGUGUGUGAUGAAAUUUUGAGGCUCAACCUUAAACUGUUAUGCAAACUGUAAGACUUGAGUAUAUGAGGGGUAGCUGGAAUUCAUAGUGUAGGAGUGAAAUCCGUAGAUAUUAUGAGGAACACCAAUGGCGUAGGCAGGCUACUGGCAUAUUACUGACACUGAGGCACGAAAGCGUGGGAGCGAACGGGAUUAGAUACCCCGGUAGUCCACGCCGUAAACGAUGGAUGCUA
rnacentral:rRNA from 1 species